AUGAACGCUGGCGGCGUGCCUAAUACAUGCAAGUCGAGCGAACGGACGAGAAGCUUGCUUCUCUGAUGUUAGCGGCGGACGGGUGAGUAACACGUGGAUAACCUACCUAUAAGACUGGGAUAACUUCGGGAAACCGGAGCUAAUACCGGAUAAUAUUUUGAACCGCAUGGUUCAAAAGUGAAAGACGGUCUUGCUGUCACUUAUAGAUGGAUCCGCGCUGCAUUAGCUAGUUGGUAAGGUAACGGCUUACCAAGGCAACGAUGCAUAGCCGACCUGAGAGGGUGAUCGGCCACACUGGAACUGAGACACGGUCCAGACUCCUACGGGAGGCAGCAGUAGGGAAUCUUCCGCAAUGGGCGAAAGCCUGACGGAGCAACGCCGCGUGAGUGAUGAAGGUCUUCGGAUCGUAAAACUCUGUUAUUAGGGAAGAACAUAUGUGUAAGUAACUGUGCACAUCUUGACGGUGCCUAAUCAGAAAGCCACGGCUAACUACGUG
rnacentral:rRNA from 1 species